CCCCGAGAUGAGUUCUCCCUGACCCUUUAAGGGUCCUGAAGGAACGUUGAAGACGACGACGUUGAUAGGCCGGGUGUGUAAGCGCAGCGAUGCGUUGAGCUAACCGGUACUAAUGAACCGUGAGGCUUAACCUUACAACGCCGAAGGUGUUU
rnacentral:rRNA from 2 species